AAGUCGAACGAGGCUUCGAGCCGAGUGGCGAACGGCUGAGUAACACGUUGGCAUCUGCCCCGAACUCAGGGAUAACAUCUAGAAAUAGGUGCUAAUACCGGAUGGUCCCGCGAGGGUAAAGCUUUUGCGGUUCGGGAGGAGCCUGCGGCCUAUCAGCUUGUUGGUGGGGUAAUGGCCUACCAAGGCUAUGACGGGUAGCUGGUCUGAGAGGAUGAUCAGCCAGAAUGGGACUGAGACACGGCCCAUACUCC
rnacentral:rRNA from 1 species